UCUGAUCUGAUCUGAUCCCGUGCCGAUCGGGUGUCCGCACUAAGUUCGGCAUCAAUAUGGUGACCUCCCGGGAGCGGGGGGCCACCAGGUUGCCUAAGGAGGGGUGAACCGGCCCAGGUAGGAAACGGAGCAGGAAGGGGCCAGUGUGGCCGAGCCUGGCUUGCUGACCUGCCCAGAGGGCAGGAGACCCAGGCCAG
ensembl:misc_RNA Metazoa_SRP Metazoan signal recognition particle RNA